rnacentral:lncRNA from 1 species
CAGGCACAGCUAAAGACAAAGAUAAAAAGUGUGCGGUCAUUCCCUACGUACAUGGCAUCUCCCACAACCUGAGAAAGAGAGGCAGCAGAAACGGGAUACACGUUCUGUUUUCAGCUCCUGACCGCUUGUCAGGUCGUUGCAAACGAGUGAAUC